rnacentral:rRNA from 1 species
GAUAAACGCUGGCGGCGUGCCUAAUACAUGCAAGUCGAGCGAACGGACGAGAAGCUUGCUUCUCUGAUGUUAGCGGCGGACGGGUGAGUAACACGUGGAUAACCUACCUAUAAGACUGGGAUAACUUCGGGAAACCGGAGCUAAUACCGGAUAAUAUUUUGAACCGCAUGGUUCAAAAGUGAAAGACGGUCUUGCUGUCACUUAUAGAUGGAUCCGCGCUGCAUUAGCUAGUUGGUAAGGUAACGGCUUACCAAGGCAACGAUGCAUAGCCGACCUGAGAGGGUGAUCGGCCACACUGGAACUGAGACACGGUCCAGACUCCUGCGGGAGGCAGCAGUAGGGAACCUUCCGCAAUGGGCGAAAGCCUGACGGAGCAACGCCGCGUGAGUGAUGAAGGUCUUCGGAUCGUAAAACUCUGUUAUUAGGGAAGAACAUAUGUGUAAGUAACUGUGCACAUCUUGACGGUACCUAAUCAGAAAGCCACGGCUAACUACGUGCCAGCAGCCGCGGUAAUACGUAGGUGGCAAGCGUUAUCCGGAAUUAUUGGGCGUAAAGCGCGCGUAGGCGGUUUUUUAAGUCUGAUGUGAAAGCCCACGGCUCAACCGUGGAGGGUCAUUGGAAACUGGAAAACUUGAGUGCAGAAGAGGAAAGUGGAAUUCCAUGUGUAGCGGUGAAAUGCGCAGAGAUAUGGAGGAACACCAGUGGCGAAGGCGACUUUCUGGUCUGUAACUGACGCUGAUGUGCGAAAGCGUGGGGAUCAAACAGGAUUAGAUACCCUGGUAGUCCACGCCGUAAACGAUGAGUGCUAAGUGUUAGGGGGUUUCCGCCCCUUAGUGCUGCAGCUAACGCAUUAAGCACUCCGCCUGGGGAGUACGACCGCAAGGUUGAAACUCAAAGGAAUUGACGGGGACCCGCACAAGCGGUGGAGCAUGUGGUUUAAUUCGAAGCAACGCGAAGAACCUUACCAAAUCUUGACAUCCUUUGACAACUCUAGAGAUAGAGCCUUCCCCUUCGGGGGACAAAGUGACAGGUGGUGCAUGGUUGUCGUCAGCUCGUGUCGUGAGAUGUUGGGUUAAGUCCCGCAACGAGCGCAACCCUUAAGCUUAGUUGCCAUCAUUAAGUUGGGCACUCUAAGUUGACUGCCGGUGACAGACCGGAGGAAGGUGGGGAUGACGUCAAAUCAUCAUGCCCCUUAUGAUUUGGGCUACACACGUGCUACAAUGGACAAUACAAAGGGCAGCGAAACCGCGAGGUCAAGCAAAUCCCAUAAAGUUGUUCUCAGUUCGGAUUGUAGUCUGCAACUCGACUACAUGAAGCUGGAAUCGCUAGUAAUCGUAGAUCAGCAUGCUACGGUGAAUACGUUCCCGGGUCU